rnacentral:tRNA from 1 species
ACUAUUUUGACAGAUAAGUGUUAUGAAUUUAGAAUUCAUUAAUGUAAGGAUUAGUUCUUACAAAUAGUA